GGACCGAUAGCUCAGCUGGAUAGAGCAACUGCCUUCUAAGCAGUAGGUCGCAGGUUCGAGUCCUGCUCGGUUCA
rnacentral:tRNA from 1 species